GGGUUGUGAGGUUAAGCGACUAAGCGUACACGGUGGAUGCCCUGGCAGUCAGAGGCGAUGAAGGACGUGCUAAUCUGCGAAAAGCGCCGGCGAGGUGAUAUGAACCUUUGACCCGGCGAUGUCCGAAUGGGGAAACCCAGUGUGAUUCGUCACACUAUCGUUAACUGAAUACAUAGGUUAACGAGGCGAACCGGGGGAACUGAAACAUCUAAGUACCCCGAGGAAAAGAAAUCAACCGAGAUUCCCCCAGUAGCGGCGAGCGAACGGGGAGCAGCCCAGAGUCUGAAUCAGCUUGUGUGUUAGUGGAACGGUCUGGAAAGUCCGGCGAUACAGGGUGACAGCCCCGUACACGAAAGCACACAGGUUGUGAACUCGAAGAGUAGGGCGGGACACGUGGUAUCCUGUCUGAAUAUGGGGGGACCAUCCUCCAAGGCUAAAUACUCCUGACUGACCGAUAGUGAACCAGUACCGUGAGGGAAAGGCGAAAAGAACCCCGGCGAGGGGAGUGAAAAAGAACCUGAAACCGUGUACGUACAAGCAGUGGGAGCACCUUCGUGGUGUGACUGCGUACCUUUUGUAUAAUGGGUCAGCGACUUAUAUUCUGUAGCAAGGUUAACCGUAUAGGGGAGCCGAAGGGAAACCGAGUCUUAACUGGGCGUUAAGUUGCAGGGUAUAGACCCGAAACCCGGUGAUCUAGCCAUGGGCAGGUUGAAGGUUGGGUAACACUAACUGGAGGACCGAACCGACUAAUGUUGAAAAAUUAGCGGAUGACUUGUGGCUGGGGGUGAAAGGCCAAUCAAACCGGGAGAUAGCUGGUUCUCCCCGAAAGCUAUUUAGGUAGCGCCUCGUGAACUCAUCUUCGGGGGUAGAGCACUGUUUCGGCUAGGGGGCCAUCCCGGCUUACCAACCCGAUGCAAACUACGAAUACCGAAGAAUGUUAUCACGGGAGACACACGGCGGGUGCUAACGUCCGUCGUGAAGAGGGAAACAACCCAGACCGCCAGCUAAGGUCCCAAAGUCAUGGUUAAGUGGGAAACGAUGUGGGAAGGCACAGACAGCCAGGAUGUUGGCUUAGAAGCAGCCAUCAUUUAAAGAAAGCGUAAUAGCUCACUGGUCGAGUCGGCCUGCGCGGAAGAUGUAACGGGGCUAAACCAUGCACCGAAGCUGCGGCAGCGACGCUUAGGCGUUGUUGGGUAGGGGAGCGUUCUGUAAGCCGUUGAAGGUGUGCUGUGAGGCAUGCUGGAGGUAUCAGAAGUGCGAAUGCUGACAUAAGUAACGAUAAAGCGGGUGAAAAGCCCGCUCGCCGGAAGACCAAGGGUUCCUGUCCAACGUUAAUCGGGGCAGGGUGAGUCGACCCCUAAGGCGAGGCCGAAAGGCGUAGUCGAUGGGAAACAGGUUAAUAUUCCUGUACUUGGUGUUACUGCGAAGGGGGGACGGAGAAGGCUAUGUUAGCCGGGCGACGGUUGUCCCGGUUUAAGCAUGUAGGCGGAACGAUUAGGUAAAUCCGGUCGUUUAUUAACGCUGAGGUGUGAUGACGAGGCACUACGGUGCUGAAGUAACAAAUGCCCUGCUUCCAGGAAAAGCCUCUAAGCAUCAGGUAACAUCAAAUCGUACCCCAAACCGACACAGGUGGUCAGGUAGAGAAUACCAAGGCGCUUGAGAGAACUCGGGUGAAGGAACUAGGCAAAAUGGUGCCGUAACUUCGGGAGAAGGCACGCUGAUAUGUAGGUGAAGCCCCUGCGGGUGGAGCUGAAAUCAGUCGAAGAUACCAGCUGGCUGCAACUGUUUAUUAAAAACACAGCACUGUGCAAACACGAAAGUGGACGUAUACGGUGUGACGCCUGCCCGGUGCCGGAAGGUUAAUUGAUGGGGUUAGCGGUAACGCGAAGCUCUUGAUCGAAGCCCCGGUAAACGGCGGCCGUAACUAUAACGGUCCUAAGGUAGCGAAAUUCCUUGUCGGGUAAGUUCCGACCUGCACGAAUGGCGUAAUGAUGGCCAGGCUGUCUCCACCCGAGACUCAGUGAAAUUGAACUCGCUGUGAAGAUGCAGUGUACCCGCGGCAAGACGGAAAGACCCCGUGAACCUUUACUAUAGCUUGACACUGAACACUGGUCCUUGAUGUGUAGGAUAGGUGGGAGGCUUUGAAGCGUGGACGCCAGUCUGCGUGGAGCCGACCUUGAAAUACCACCCUUUAAUGGCUGGUGUUCUAACGUAGACCCGUAAUCCGGGUUGCGGACAGUGUCUGGUGGGUAGUUUGACUGGGGCGGUCUCCUCCCAAAGAGUAACGGAGGAGCACGAAGGUUAGCUAAUCCUGGUCGGACAUCAGGAGGUUAGUGCAAUGGCAUAAGCUAGCUUGACUGCGAGAGUGACGGCUCGAGCAGGUGCGAAAGCAGGUCAUAGUGAUCCGGUGGUUCUGAAUGGAAGGGCCAUCGCUCAACGGAUAAAAGGUACUCCGGGGAUAACAGGCUGAUACCGCCCAAGAGUUCAUAUCGACGGCGGUGUUUGGCACCUCGAUGUCGGCUCAUCACAUCCUGGGGCUGAAGUAGGUCCCAAGGGUAUGGCUGUUCGCCAUUUAAAGUGGUACGCGAGCUGGGUUUAGAACGUCGUGAGACAGUUCGGUCCCUAUCUGCCGUGGGCGCUGGAGAAUUGAGGGGGGCUGCUCCUAGUACGAGAGGACCGGAGUGGACGCAUCACUGGUGUUCGGGUUGUCAUGCCAAUGGCACUGCCCGGUAGCUAAAUGCGGAAAAGAUAAGUGCUGAAAGCAUCUAAGCACGAAACUUGCCCCGAGAUGAGUUCUCCCUGACCCUUUAAGGGUCCUGAAGGAACGUUGAAGACUACGACGUUGAUAGGUCGGGUGUGUAAGCGCAGCGAUGCGUUGAGCUAACCGAUACUAAUGAACCGUGAGGCUUAACCUUACAACGCCGAAGCUGUU
rnacentral:rRNA from 1 species